rnacentral:rRNA from 1 species
GAUGAACGCUAGCUACAGGCUUAACACAUGCAAGUCGCGGGGCAGCAUGGGGGUUGCUUGCAAUCCCCGAUGGCGACCGGCGCACGGGUGAGUAACGCGUAUCCAACCUGCCCUUCACCACGGGAUAACCCGGCGAAAGUCGGACUAAUACCGUAUGUUGUCCAUUGACGGCAUCCGAUUUGGACGAAAGGCUUGGCGGUGAGGGAGGGGGAUGCGUCCGAUUAGCCAGAGGGCGGGGUAACGGCCCACCGUGGCUACGAUCGGUAGGGGUUCUGAGAGGAGGGUCCCCCACACUGGAACUGGGACACGGUCCAGACUCCUACGGGAGGCAGCAGUGAGGAAUAUUGGUCAAUGGGCGUAAGCCUGAACCAGCCAAGUAGCGUGCAGGAAGACGGCCCUAUGGGUUGUAAACUGCUUUUAUGCGGGGAUAAAGUGGCCCACGUGUGGGCUUUUGCAGGUACCGCAUGAAUAAGGACCGGCUAAUUCCGUG